rnacentral:rRNA from 1 species
GGCAGCAGUGGGGAAUAUUGGACAAUGGGCGAAAGCCUGAUCCAGCCAUGCCGCGUGUGUGAAGAAGGCCUUUUGGUUGUAAAGCACUUUAAGCGAGGAGGAGGCUACUUAGAUUAAUACUCUAGGAUAGUGGACGUUACUCGCAGAAUAAGCACCGGCUAACUCUGUGCCAGCAGCCGCGGUAAUACAGAGGGUGCGAGCGUUAAUCGGAUUUACUGGGCGUAAAGCGUGCGUAGGCGGCUUCUUAAGUCGGAUGUGAAAUCCCUGAGCUUAACUUAGGAAUUGCAUUCGAUACUGGGAAGCUAGAGUAUGGGAGAGGAUGGUAGAAUUCCAGGUGUAGCGGUGAAAUGCGUAGAGAUCUGGAGGAAUACCGAUGGCGAAGGCAGCCAUCUGGCCUAAUACUGACGCUGAGGUACGAAAGCAUGGGGAGCAAACAGGAUUAGAUACCCUGGUAGUCCAUGCCGUAAACGAUGUCUACUAGCCGUUGGGGCCUUUGAGGCUUUAGUGGCGCAGCUAACGCGAUAAGUAGACCGCCUGGGGAGUACGGUCGCAAGACUAAAACUCAAAUGAAUUGACGG